ACACCUCAACUCUCAUGGCUUUGCCGUGAUGAGCUUGGACUUUGGGGGUCUUGCUGGCCUGUGGUCUGCUCCUCUCAAAUGAAUUAGCUUGCCAGUGUUUGGUGGCGUCACAGGUGUGAUAACUAUCUACGCUUGUGGUUUUCCACCAGGUAACCUUCAGUGAUGAAGGUUCACUGGGGCUCAUAAAAGUCUCUCCUCAGCGAGGACAGCUCUAUGAAU
rnacentral:misc_RNA from 1 species